CUGGUGGUUAAGGAUUUGUCAUUAUCACUAAUGUGGCUCAAGUUUGAUCCCUGGCCUGGGAACUUAUGUGAAAGAAAGAAAGGAAGGAAGGAAGGAAGGAAGGAAGGAAGGAAAGGAAGGAAGGAAGGAAGGAAGGAAGGAAGGAAGGAAGGAAGAAAGAAAGAAAGAAGGAAAAUUCAUGGGUACAUGGACUAAGUAGAUACAGAGCAUGCGAACUACUUUCUUAGCUUCAUUGUAGAUGUUAGAGAAUGACAGAGGGAAAAUACGAAUCAUUUGCCUUGCCCAACUUAAUAAAUUUUUCAUCUGAGCCAACUAUCCUACUUUUAAAUGGGAAAAAGGGCUUUUGAAUCUGGUUGGAGCAGCAGUAAUUCUGAAGGGUAAUUGACUGAGCUGGACUAUGGAUUCUUGUUAGUGUUGGUUAAAUUUACAUCUGAGUAAUUUAACUGAGAAAUAGUUGCCUGACUUUACUUGCAGAUGAAAAAUUCUGAGGCUUGACUUAAGGAAGAUCAUAAUAACAGUAUGCCAGAUACAGUAUAGUGAGAAUAUACAUCCAUAGGUUCUCUAAUAUAGUCUAUACGCAUUGUAGUUAUAUGCUAUUUAACACCAAAAUUAAAUUUACCUUUCUUUUGAUGAGAUGUCAUGCAGUUAACCUUUAUCAGUGCUAAUAAGAGGAAGUGGUGAUGAAGUGAAUUUUCCAACAAUUAUUUGUUUGUUUGUUUUUCUUUUUAUAGCCCCACCUGGGAAUAUGGAUUCAACCCCCGGGCUAGGGGUUGAAUCAGAGCUGCAGCUGUGGCCUAUGCAACAGUGAUGGUAACACUGAAUCUGAGCUGCCUCUACAGUCACAGCUUAUGACAACUCCAGAUCCUUAAUCCACUGAGUGAGGCCCGCGGUCGAAUCCUCAUCCUCACAGAGACAACAGCAGGUCGUUUACCUGCUGAGCCACAGUGGGAACUCCAAGAAACAAUUAUUUUUGAAAUGGGCUUAUCUGCUCCAAGAUUGUCUUCACAUUGUAACUUCCAUUUUUAUUUGAAGAGUACUAUACAGGAAUCAUAUCCAGUCUUUCUAUUCUGAGCAAGAUUCCUCAGUCAGAGGUGGUAAUCAAGUAUUCAUAUGCUGUAUUUCAAGCAACUGAAGAGGAUAGAAGCAUAUUUAAAUUUUAUGUAUAAAUACACAUACACUUAAAAUGGAACAUGAACGAUAGAAUGAAAAUGAUUUGGGAACUGAACCUCAAACCUGCAUAUACAGUGAGUAGUCAGAGGAAGAAGGUUAAGAGCUUAGAGGUUGGAUAGAGAAGAAUAUUGAGGGAAACCAGGAUUUGGUAGGAGUUUAGCCCUAGCACAGAUAUUGGGUUCUGCAUGUUAGGUGUGUCUUUAUAUCUGGAAAUCUGCUGAAGUAUAUUCUAAAGCUAUAGGAUAAACUUAAUAAACAUGAAAUAUAAUCUGAUGGGAGAAGUCCAAGUACUUUCAUAAGGUUUAAAAUAUGCAUGUAGCCAAAGGGGAGCUGAUUUAUCUAAUUAUUUAUUUAGUCUUUGACUCUGGUUACUAACAUGAGACAAUAGUCCAUCCUUAUUACCCUUCAGGUGAUCCGUGCUGGGAAUAAUUUUAUUUAACAUUUUAAAAAAUGAUUUAAAGACAGACUGACAUUGGAAUUUGCCAGAGUUGCAGCUGACUCUGUGUACUGUUCCAGGCAGUUAAAAGCCAAGCCAACAAGAAGCUACAGGAACAUCCUUUGAUGAGUUUUUGUAUGGCAGAGAACAAGAUAAUGCAUUAAGGAGUAAGUAUUCCAAAUUAUAUUUAUAGACUGAGUUGUGACCCAGGAAGGGGAUCCAGAAGUCAUAGAGAUAACUUCCUUGAAGGCAUUUAUUGUAGUUACUGCUUGGCCACAAAAUCCAAGGAGAAACAUGUUGAGGGUUGUGGGACAUGGUUCUGAAAACAAAAGUGAUAUUGUACAUGAAAAUAAUUAUAAAAGGGGUUACCAUUUUCUGACUAUUUUAUGCUCCAGGCCAAGUGAUUUUGCAGACAUUCUUUCAUUUAAUUCUCUUAACCGUUCUGAAAGGUGGGUGGUAUUAUCUGGUUCCAUUAAAAAGGAAAUUCAAUUCUGGGAGUUUAAGUGACUUUCCCAAGUUGGCCAGUAUGUGGCUGAAUUGAGAUUAUGGCCCUGAUCUUUAGAUUGUUAACCCUAAACAUUUCCCAGGCUGUUAGGAGGCAGCUCUUAAAACUUGUGAUAGUUUAAUUUAGAGUUUAUGAAAUGUUUUACUCCUUUGCUGUAACACUUUUGGAUGUCAUCACCACAAGAGAUAGUAUCUAGAUAUUUUGAGAGGAUUUAGAGACAUUCCUUAAAUUCUUGAUUUUUAAGGAAAGCUAGGGAUGUUUUGAUGUACAGUCUUAACCCUCAGUGCUGGCUUCCCAUAAAAAUGUUUCUCCUGUUGACUUAAUAAAAUGCUCUGAUCAUUAAUGGGUAUUAAUAAAAGUAGCAUUAACAAAGAAAAUAGGUUGUGGUGGAAAAGACACCAGAGAUGUAGAUUCUUUUAGUGGUACGAAAGAGUGGUGUGGAAGCAUGAGGAUAGCAUUGAAACAGGCAUAACACUCUUGCUCCGAGAGUAAGGGAAGGCUUGAGCUGUCUUAAGAGAUGAGCCAGUGAAGAGAGGGUGUAGAGUCCUAAGCAGAGGAAAUACCAGUAUGUUAGAUGAAUCACUGAACUUUCUUGAACUGUAAUUUCUUCAAAAGCUGAGUUACAAUAUAAUAAAAUAUCUUAUAUUUUACUUAUAAGGGUAACAUCUAUUGUGUAUAAGCUGUUACACACGCGUACUUUAUAUGUGUUGAUUUUGGAAUCCCAAAAUCGGAGGUUGUGAGAACCAAGUGAGUAAGUAAGUGCGAAAGUGCUUUCUAAAUUUUUUAAGUGUUCUACCAAUAGGAGUGAUAGAAGAAUACUGACAUUCUUGUGACAGGUAGACAAAGAGAAUGCUGUGAAAACUUAGGUAGCCGGAAGAGAAGAGUACAAGAGGAGAAACAGCAGAAAUGGGGAAGGGAAGUAUUAAAGAUGAAAGGAAGGAAGAGGAUAGAUGUGACGAAAAUUGAGUUAUAGUUCUCUUUGUGCCUGUCAGUCAAAAGGGGGGAAUAAGUCCAAGUCUAUAAUUGAAGGUUCUUAACAUUAAUUUACAGAAAGGAAGAAGCUCAGCAAGUAGUUGAAACAUUUUACUCACUUUUUCAUUUAGUUUACACUGACCAUGUUAUUAAUAAGACUAGGAAAAUAGGCUAAUUGAGAGUUGGCUGUAUUGUCUGAUUGUUUCUUCACUCAUUACUUAGGUUUAGCUAAUGGCUCUAAAUUUACAAGAGCGCUCAUAAAAAUAAAAUAAGCUGGACUAAGUUACUGUAUAUUCUAGAUUAUCAAAAAUGAAAGGGUGUGUUUAAGGAGGAGGGUGAAGGGGUUCCCUGGUGGCACAGUGGGUUAAGGAUCUGGCAUUGUCACUGCUAUGACUUGGUUUACUACUGUGGUUCGUAGGCCCAGGAACUUCAGCAAGGUACAAUGGGAACAAAAUGCCAUACUAGGAGUUCAAAUUUUUAUUUUUUGUAUAGGUGAGGAAGUGAUACAAAUAGUUUGGUCCUUUAGAAAAUGGAUUAUAGCUGUAAUAAAGAGAACAGCCUGGAGGAACAGAGAAGGAGACUUUUUUUUCACCAAGUAAUACAUAUGGCAGGGUGAGUCAAUGAGGCAUUGUCUCUGGGCUCGGGUAGGUGAAGUAUAGUCAAAGAUGCCGUUUUAGGCUCUGCCCUAGUUCAGGAAAGAGAUUAUGAUGGUUUGAAUUAAGGAGUUUGUAGUAGGGAUAGAAACAGGAACACUGAUUUCAGAGGUAUUUAGGAGUUUAAGUCCUCCAGACUUGGCAAGUAUGUUUGGAAGUGAUAGAAGUUGAAGAUGAGUCUAAGGUUCCCGACUUGGCAGUAGAAUAAUACAUGCAAGUUUGAGAGAAGGGGAGAACUGAGUUUGCCUUCAGAUGAGUAGUCAUUAUUUUUAGAUAAGUAAUAAUAACAGGAUAUUAUGGGUCUAGCUCAGGAACAUAAUCAGGUUUAUAGAUAUGAUUUGGAAGGCAUAAAGUUUAUAGUUGAAAGUUUUGAAAUUAGACAAGUAAUGACCAUAAUUCCUAAAUAAUAAUGCAUAUAGAACACAAAGUAACUGCCAGUAUAGGCACUUAGUUCAGGAGUAUAGACAUUUUUAAACAUUUAUUUAAGAUUUUUCUCACUUCCAGGCAAACCCCCAGGACCUAGCCUUACAAAGGCUAUAUAGAAGUAUUUGCUGCCAAAAAGCCAGAAGUAUUUUCGUGUCUUUGAAACAGUGCACCGCAUCCUGUCUGGCCAUCUAGCAUAGCCAGGGAAUUCAUAGACAUGCACUUCCUGUUCCUCACUUUAGUCUCUUUUUGGACUCUUUGCUUCUUUGAGCUGGCAAGGUAGUCAACAACAGAUAUGGAAGCCCAAAGGCUUUUUUCACCUUUAAAAUCUAGCUCCAAGCAGCCCUAAUCAACCAUCUCUUUGCUUCUCUUUCUCUCCUACUUCUCCAGCCCUGUAGAGCUCAAGGCUCUGGCAAGCAGAAUGACACUCCAAGAAGGAAAAGUAAAAACAGCACAAGAGAAAGAACCUUGAAGGAGGACUAUCAUCUUUUCAGUUCUCCCCCAAAGGUUCUACUCUUUAAGCCAGGGGAUGGAGUUGGUGAGUCAUUAAGAAGAGAUGUCCAAAUUCAGUAAAAUAAAUACAUCUAUUUGGAGCAAGGUCUUCAAGUGCUGAGGGAAUUUGGAAAGAAUCUGAGGUGGUUUAGCACUUAGUGGAAAAGAUGAGUUUUUGGUUCAGUUUUCAAGGAGG
rnacentral:lncRNA from 1 species